ensembl:lncRNA
AUGACUUUUGUGAGUCAUCAGAUAAAAUUGUAUUCUCUGCUAUCACUCAGAGCGGCAGCUGUGGCGAUCCAGCGAUGUUGGCGGAGGAGAUGCGUAUUGCAGAGACGUGAGGGCCUCCCAGGCUUAAUUGAAAAAACUAACACAAAAUCACAUUUUGAUAAGGUGGAAGAUACCUGCAUUGGGGGGCCUGAGAGAGAACGUGCUGCUGUUGUUAUUCAGAAAGCAGUGGAGAAAGCCUGGAUAACCUUGGAUUCCAAAGCCUUACCGGCCAAGAUGAUGCCAUUUUCAGAACAGCUGCCAUUGCCAAAGUUCACCAAGCAGUGA